rnacentral:misc_RNA from 1 species
AACGCACAUUGCGCCCCUUGGUAUUCCGGGGGGCAUGCCUGUUCGAGCGUCAUUAUAACCACUCAAGCUCUCGCUUGGUAUUGGGGUUCGCGGUCUCGCGGCCCCUAAAAUCAGUGGCGGUGCCUGUCGGCUCUACGCGUAGUAAUACUCCUCGCGAUUGAGUCCGGUAGGUUUACUUGCCAGCAACCCCUAAUUUUUACAGGUUGACCUCGGAUCAGGUAGGGAUACCCGCUGAACUUAA